rnacentral:rRNA from 1 species
ACUCCUACGGGAGGCAGCAGUGGGGAAUAUUGCACAAUGGGGGAAACCCUGAUGCAGCCAUGCCGCGUGUGUGAAGAAGGCCUUCGGGUUGUAAAGCACUUUCAGUUGUGAGGAAAGGUUGGUAGUUAUACUGCCGCAGCUGUGACGUUAACAACAGAAGAAGCACCGGCUAACUCCGUGCCAGCAGCCGCGGUAAUACGGAGGGUGCGAGCGUUAAUCGGAAUUACUGGGCGUAAAGCGCACGCAGGCGGCUUGUUAAGCUAGAGGUGAAAAGCCCCCGGCUGCUCAAGCGUUGGGAAACUGCCGUUUAGAACUGGCAUGGCUAGAGGUCUUGGAGAGGGGAGUGGAAUUCCAGGUGUAGCGGUGAAAUGCGUAGAUAUCUGG